ensembl:lincRNA
UGGCUUUGUCUGGUUGGGUGCAUGGGCCGGCUCACAUGAAUGGGCGUGUGGGCCUUUGGGCUGAGAAGUACACCGGCCCCCGGGAUUCUGGGCGGUAGCUGCCAGUCCUUUGUCUAGAAAGAGCCUCCUCGCUCAGCCCCAGGGGUGGGGGCGCACGGCGCCUGGGAUCCGCCCCUUGGGCCCCUCCCCGAGGCAGCCGCCGCCCACCCGCCGGCCUUAGGCUCCCGCACAUCUGGCGGUCCUCAGCGCAUCUGGGCAGCCGGCGCCGAAGCAUGAACAGCUCGCAGGAGGGCGCCACGGCCCGGGGCGCCUGGCAGAGCUCCUGCUGCAACCAGUCGGGGGUGCCGCUGGAGCCCCCCGAGGGGCCGCGCGCCGUGCAGGCGGCGGUGCUGGGCGUGCUGUCGCUGCUCGUGCUGUGCGGGGUCCUCUUCCUGGCCGCCGGCCUCCUGCUCCGCGCCCAGGGUUUAAGGGCGCUGCUGGCCCGAGAGCUGCGCUCGUCCCGGGAGGGCGAGCCCGGCGGCGCCAGCGUCGAUGACGACGACGACUCCUAGGCGCCCGGCUGCGUUCGGGGGUCGCGGCCUCCCGGCGAUCCGUGGACUCCAUGCCAGACUUUGAGGGAACCGUCCCCCAGCACCCGACGUCUGCAGCGGGGAGCCCUGCCCGAUGCUGGUGCGCUCGCACAGCCUUGCUGGAUACCUUCUUGCUGCUGCGAAUGGCCUUCCAGGUGCCACAGCAACUCCCAGCUCAGUGCCUGGGAAGCUGGCCCAUGGUGUGUGCUGUGGAGGACCUCAGUGUUCCUGGAGGAAGAGCCUGAGACGUUUGCUAAGAAACUCUGACCCUGGUCAAGGCUGUCAGACUGAACGGGGAGGGAAAGAAUUCAGAAAAUUGGGAAAUGGGUGCUGUUGUCACACCAUCUGCCAGACUCAGGUUGGGAGUGGCAGGGAUGAUGACUGCAGGUCGGUGUGCCAUGGAGUGAGGCCAGGCGUUUGGAUCCCAACAAGCUCCAUUAGCCUGCGCUGUCCUUGAUGGAAAGACUGGGUCCACACAUGCAUGGACAUCUUGGCUUACUCUUCCUCUAAACCCUGAGUCUCACCCUGAGGUGGAAAGAAUUGUCAUUCCUUGGCUCCCUCUCCAGCAAAGAUGGGGGCGGCUAUCUAGUACAGAUUCCCAAACCUCGCAUGCUGUGUGUCCCAGACCGCUUUCCUCCAGGCUACCGGCCACACAAGGAACCUUUGAUCCACAUACAGUACAGAUGACGGCCUGGGAGAUGCCUGGACUGUGGCGAGACCGCAACCUGGGAUUCCUGCACGCAGCUGCUGCCUCUGACCCGCUCCAUCCAGCCUCCUGAAGUGCUCAUGGCACUGGCCUGGGUGGCCAGCCCCACUCCUGGCAACUGCUGUGCGUCCUGGGCACUGAAGUGGCCACACCCUCAGGAUGCUCAGUGCUUCAGACGCUGACAGACUCGUGCCUGCUGGGCCUAGUCCCGUCUCUGGUACUGGGUGGCUGUGGUCUGACAGGCUAGUGACUUGUCCCUGCUGAGGGCGGUAGGCCCGUGUCCCAAAUUUGAAGGUCUUGGGUGCCCCAGCAAUGCCUCAUCACUGCCCCAUCACUUCCUGUGGCUUGUUAUGAAAUAUGCUGGUAAUGUAAAGUUGGAGUAUACAGUCAGUGCUUGCAGCUCCUGACUCUUGGAAUUAGUGGUAAACCUGGGCCAGUGGUAAAUAACCUGCCUGCCGGUGCGGGAGACAUAAAAGAUGCAGGUUGGAUCCCUGGAUCGGAAAGAUCCCCUGGAGGAGGACAUGGCAACCAUUCCAGUGUUCUUGCCUGGAGAAUCCCAGGGACAGAGAAGUCUGGUGGGCUCCAUACAGUUGCAAAGAGUCGGACAUGACUGAAGCGACUUAGCACGCAGCAUGUUGGGCCCGCUCCAGCUUGCACUGUUUCUGGCAGAUCCUGAAAUAGCAACCCCAGCCACAGCCCCUCUCCCUCGCUCUCAGUGCUAGCUUUUCCCUCUCCAUACCCAGAUCCACACCUACUGGUAGGUGGGAGGUGGGGCAGUGACUCUCACACCGACACUCUACUGCCUCCCUGUGGUCAGUGUGGGCAAGGUUGCCGGGAGAAAUAUCAGCAACCUCAGAUAUGUAGAUGGCACCACCCUAAUGGCAGAAAGUGAAAAGGAGCUAAAGAGCCUCUUGAUAAGGUGAAAGAGGAGAGUGAAAAAGCUGGCUUAAAACUCAACUUUCAAAAAGCUAAGAUCAUGGCUUUCAGUCCCCUCGCUUCAUGGGAAAUAGAUGGGGAAACAAUGGAAACAGUUAGAGACUUUAUUUUCUUGGGCUCCAAAAUCACUGCAGAUGGUGACUGCAGCCAUGAAAUUAAAAGCCGCUUGCUCCUUGGAAGAAAAGCAGUGACCAACCUAGACAGCGUACUAAAAAGCAGAGACGUUACUUUGCCAACAAAGGUCUGUCUAGUCAAAGCUAUGGUUUUUCCAGUAGUUGUGUAUGGAUAUGAGAUUUGGACCAGAAAGAAGGCUGAGCACCAAAGCAUUAAUGCUUUUGAACUGUGGUGGUGGAGAAGACUCUUGAGAGUCUAAAGGAACUCAGUCCUGACUAUUCAUUGGAAGGACUGAUGCUAAAGCUGAAGCUCCAGUCCUUUGGCCACCUGAGGCAAAGAGCCAACUCUUUCAAAAGACCCCGAUGCUGAGAAAGACUGAAGGCAGGUGGAGAAGGGGAUGGCAGAGGAUGAGAUGGUUGGAUGGCAUCACUGAUUCAGUGGACGUGAGUCUGGGCAAACUCUGGGAAUUAGUGAAGGACAGGGAAGCCUGGUGUGCUGCACUCCAUCGGGUUGCAAAGAGUUGGACACGACUGAGUGACUGAACAACAACAAUUGGGGGUCUGAUCACAGUUUGGCCAGAGCUUGUGCCUCGACGUGAGAGUGAAUUUUGUGAGCAUAUGCAUGGAAUUCUAUAUUUCAUGGAAUACUUAUAGGUUAUAGGUUCAUUCUAUAAACCUCCAUGAAUCUCAAUCUCUUCAUCCCUAAAAUGGAGGCAACAAUGUCAUAAGGAUCAAAUAUACAGCGUGCUUGUCCAUAGAUAAAAGGCUUUCUACACUGUGAUUAUAGUGUGAUGUUAUUUUUUUCUCCAAGCCUGACCAUCUCCAGAGAAAAGGUGUAGAGACACCCACCCACCCUGUUUCUGGGAACAUGUCAUGUGUCUUUUCCAUGAGCGUUUUUUUUUUUUUAACUUUUUAUUUUGUAUUCAGGUAUAGCUGAUUGUUCACAGUGUUCUGAUAGUUUCAGGUGAACAGUGAAGACAGAGAAGAUAUAUGACUUCACUUAUACGUACAAACUAAAAAGAAAUGAUCCAGAUGAACUUACAGAAAGAGACUCACAGACUUAGAGAACGAACUUAUGGUUGCUGGGGGAAGGGAUGGGGGGAAGGGUAGUCAGGGAGUUGGGGAUGGGUAUGUGCACACUGCUAUAUUUAAAAUGGGAAACCAACAGGGACCUACUGUAUUAGCACAGGCAACUUUGCUCAGUGUUAUGUGGCAGCCUGGAUGGGAGGGGAAUUUGAGGAAGAAUGGAUACAGGUAUAUGUAUGGCUGAGUCCAUGAGUGUUUAUUUAUUUAUAUUUUUCUCUUUUCGGCUUUUUUUUUUUUUAAAUAAGCGGUUACAUUGCGGGCUCAAUGUUAACAUGUUCCACCAAACAUUAAACUGGUGUUUCCAGAAAACAGGGCCCCUGGCUAAAGCGUGUCUCCAGGUUCCUUGGUAAUUGACAAGGUAGUCGCUUGAGUACUGAAUGACUGCUCUGUGCCAGGCCUGCUCUGGGGCUGGGGAUGAGAUGAAUGAGACAGAGGUCCUGCCUUCAAGAGGCACACAGUGCCGUAAGAGCACUGCUCACAAGACUGAAGUUAACACAGACAAUAAGAAGUGCCGAGUGUCGACAAAGCCGAGAGCAGAGAGUGACUGGCUCGGCUCCUAGAGGAAGUGGUACUGAGUGAACAUUCACCGGGCAGAGAAGGGGAGGAAGAAAAUUCUGGGCAGAGACACAGAGGGGCCUAGGGCUGGAGGUGCCCUAGAGGCAGGUAGGUAGAGUAGGAUGUGGAGGUGCGAGACCGGAGGGGUGGCAGCCUGGGUGGGAGACUUUAUCCUGGAGGUAGCAAGGGGUCUGCAGGGGUCUAGAGGGCUUUAAGCUGGAAACGACAUGGUAAGAUCUGGAUCUUAGGGAAUUGGGGGUAAGUCUGUGGGUGGGAGCAGGCUGGACGUAGAGAGACAGCAAGGAGGCUGUGGUCACAACCUGGCAAAAAUGAUGAUGCCCUGGACUAAAGUGGAAAGAAAAGGGGACAGAUCCAAGUGAUGUUUGGGAUUCAGGCUUUGGUCACUAGCUGAAUGUGGAAUGAAGUGGGGGUGGAGGACGAAGCCCCAGCUCCUGGAAUUAAUUACCCAGGGGGUGGUGACGCCUGCCACCCAUCGAGGGGCUGUGUUAUCAGUUAGGAUAUUUUGGUCUGAGUUUACAGGAAACCCUAAAGAUAUUUGGCUUGAGCAGAGGGUAAUUAAUUGGCCCACAUAACUGCAGAGCCUAGGGGCAGUUCUGGCCUCAGGCCGGCUGUGACUCAGGUCUGACUGUGAGCAGCCCUGGCCUCUCUGCCUUCCAUGCCUUGGUCUGCAGCCUCUGUCAGCCUCUGGCAGGGUGGUCUAAAGGUUGGGGCAAGGGCUUGAAAUCUCGUGGCUGGACUUGAAAGCUGGCCCCACAUUUUCUGGCUGUGUGACCUGGGCAAGGUGCUUAAUCCCUUGCGGGAGUGAGGAGAAGCAGGGCGUUAGGAUAAAGUGAGACCCAUACAUGUAGAGAGCCUGGCCCAGUAACAGCGCUGUUAUCAGCCUCAGCCUCCAUGUGAGGCAGGAGGCAUCUCAAGCUCAAAUCUAUCAGGGAAGGACAGGUCAUCUCCCAGGUCCCUCAGGCCAAACCCUGCAACAGUUGUGACUGUGUGCUAACCCUGGGGUCCUGUGUUGCUGGUAUGGAAUGUUCUAGGCCUAGGUCACAUGCUCUGCUCAGACAUCCCAGACCACAGGGCCCAAAGGAGAAGGAUGUCUCCUCACUAGAUCUAAGCCUGUUUUAGUUCUGGGGUGAACAGAGGCUGGGUGUCCAUAAACUGACUCAUGGGGGGCCGUGGGCAGAGGGGUGGUGGGUGAGUCCAGUUUGGGUGUGUUGAGUCUGAAGCACGGCCGCGGGGUCAUCCAAGGUGUACAAUUAGUUAUGGGGCUGGGGCUCACCAGAGAGACUUCCAGGCCAGGGUGUUGCUAGAGGCAGAAAAUGGAACUAUGGGAAGGGCCUGGGUAGGGCUGAGAAGAGAGGGGGCGAGCAGGCC